GCCUGAGUAGCUCAGUGGUAGAGCAAUCGGCUGUUAACCGAUCGGUCAUAGGUUCGAGCCCUAUCUCAGGCGCCA
rnacentral:tRNA from 1 species